CGCUGAAUUAAUACUCGUUUAACUGAUUACAAUUUGGAUUUAAGUUUUAUGUUUUUAGCGGGCAAGACUAUUUCUUCUUCCCUCUUACCACAUUAUUAUCUUUCAGAGGGAAAGAAAUUGAUUAGAGGGAGAAAGAGUCUGUUUUUUUUGGUUUGUAUAAUACUUUCGAUCCAGAUCGAUCUUUCUUGGCUUGCCCGUGGGCCGUGGUAUCCUGACGUCCCUCCCGCUACGACUCGCUGUACCUUUCUUUCCUUAUAUCGGAUUUUCAAGUUCGCGUUGGCGAUUUGUGUUUUCGCUUAGGCGAUUUUUGUGGUGUUUUCAACUCAAAAUCAAAGAUUUUCUUCAUGGAUUUGUUAUGUUCUUUGAUUCUGGGUUGAGUUUUAAUAAUCUUUCGCAUGGUUAAUUUAUAUUCCGUUUGCUUGAGUCUGAAUCUCUAAUUCUUUGUUGGUUGGGCACAGAUCCCUUUUCUAUGAGGCUCUUUUAUCUCUUAUUGAUUAAGAGUUAAUAUGUCAACAUGAAAGUGGAGCAACUCAGAUGAAAAGGACGAUGGUGAUUUUAGAUAGAUUCAAUUGAUUUAAGGAGGAUUCAGUAGAAAUUGGCAUCUUUUAUAAAAAUGGACCAAUGAAGAGUCUCUUACUUGAAUCAAUUGGUGUUUCUCAGUUCUAAUUCACCGGCGGUUGUAAGAGAUUCAAGCCUUUAGCGGUGGUUGGUAGCGAAAGAUUGAAUAUGAAGAGUACAAGAUCAAGGCCAAAUAAAGUUUCAAGAUGAGGAGUAGAUUGAAGCCUCGUCGCUGGUAGUGGUAGGGAUUUCCACCGGCGGUGAAGCGAAGGGUCGAGAUAGCAUGUCCCAGUUACGCCAUGUAGGGAAGAUUAUUUCGCUAUGCUACACAUGUUUCAUUCUAUGUAAUGUUUAUAUUCUUUAUAUUUAAUAAAAUCAGAAGUUGAC
rnacentral:lncRNA from 1 species